rnacentral:rRNA from 1 species
GAUGAACGCUGGCGGCGUGCCUAAUACAUGCAAGUCGAGCGAACAGACGAGGAGCUUGCUCCUCUGACGUUAGCGGCGGACGGGUGAGUAACACGUGGAUAACCUACCUAUAAGACUGGGAUAACUUCGGGAAACCGGAGCUAAUACCGGAUAAUAUAUUGAACCGCAUGGUUCAAUAGUGAAAGACGGUUUUGCUGUCACUUAUAGAUGGAUCCGCGCCGCAUUAGCUAGUUGGUAAGGUAACGGCUUACCAAGGCAACGAUGCGUAGCCGACCUGAGAGGGUGAUCGGCUACACUGGAACUGAGACACGGUCCAGACUCCUACGGGAGGCAGCAGUAGGGAAUCUUCCGAAAUGGGCGAAAGCUUGACGGAGCAACGCAGCGUGAGUGAUGAAGGUCUUCGGAUCGUAAAACUCUGUUAUUAGGGAAGAACAAAUGUGUAAGUAACUAUGCACGUCUUGACGGUACCUAAUCAGAAAGCCACGGCUAACUACGUG